CCAGACUCCUACGGGAGGCAGCAGUGGGGAAUAUUGCACAAUGGGGGAAACCCUGAUGCAGCGACGCCGCGUGAGCGAUGAAGUAUUUCGGUAUGUAAAGCUCUGUCAGCAGGGAAGAAAAUGACGGUACCUGACUAAGAAGCCCUGGCUAACUACGUGCCAGCAGCCGCGGUAAUACGUAGGGGGCAAGCGUUAUCCGGAUUUACUGGGUGUAAAGGGAGCGUAGACGGCGGUGCAAGCCAGAUGUGAAAGCCCGGGGCUCAACCCCGGGACUGCAUUUGGAACUGUGCUGCUAGAGUGUCGGAGAGGCAGGCGGAAUUCCUAGUGUAGCGGUGAAAUGCGUAGAUAUCAGGAGGAACACCGGUGGCGAAGGCGGCCUGCUGGACUGCAACUGACGUUGAGGCCCGAAAGCGUGGGGAGCAAACAGGAUUAGAUACCCUAGUACC
rnacentral:rRNA from 1 species